rnacentral:rRNA from 1 species
CUACGGGUCGCUGCAGUGAGGAAUUUUGCGCAAUAGGGGAAACCCUGACGCAGCAACGCCGCGUGAGUGAUGAAGGCCUUCGGGUCGUAAAGCUCUGUCAAGUGAGAAGAACCUGCUCAAUGUUAAUACCAUUAAGCACUGACGGUACCACUGAAGGAAGCACCGGCUGACUCCGUGCCAGCAGCCGCGGUAAUACGGAGGGUGCAAGCGUUAUUCGGAAUUAUUGGGCGUAAAGGGCGCGUAGGCGGCCCCUUAAGUCAGGUGUGAAAGCCCGGGGCUUAACCCCGGAAGUGCAUUUGAAACUAAGGGACUUGAGUAUGGGAGAGGGAAGUGGAAUUCCUAGUGUAGAGGUGAAAUUCGUAGAUAUCAGGAGGAACACCGGUGGCGAAGGCGACUUCCUGGACCAAUACUGUCGCUAAGGCGCGAAGGCGUGGGGAGCAAACAGGAUUAGAUACCCUAGUAGUC